GUUUUUAGAGAGAAAUUCGACAAUACCAAGGGACUCACAAUCCCUNGGUCGCAGGUUCGAGUCCUGCUAAGCCCACCA
rnacentral:tRNA from 2 species